UACGAGGGGGGCAAGCGUUGUUCGGAAUUAUUGGGCGUAAAGGGCGCGUAGGCGGUGCGGUAAGUCUGAUGUGAAAUCUCCGGGCUCAACUCGGAGUCUGCAUCAGAAACUGCCGUGCUCGAGUGUGGGAGAGGUGAGUGGAAUUCCCGGUGCAGCGGUGAAAUGCGUAGAUAUCGGGAGGAACACCUGUGGCGAAAGCGGCUCACUGGACCACAACUGACGCUGAGGCGCGAAAGCUAGGGGAGCAAACAGG
rnacentral:rRNA from 1 species